UACGGGGGGGGCAAGCGUUGUUCGGAAUUACUGGGCGUAAAGGGCUCGUAGGCGGCCAACUAAGUCAGACGUGAAAUCCCUCGGCUUAACCGGAGAACUGCGUCUGAUACUGGAUGGCUUGAGGUUGGGAGAGGGAUGCGGAAUUCCAGGUGUAGCGGUGAAAUGCGUAGAUAUCUGGAGGAACACCGGUGGCGAAGGCGGCAUCCUGGACCAAUUCUGACGCUGAGGAGCGAAAGUGUGGGGAGCGAACAGG
rnacentral:rRNA from 1 species